rnacentral:tRNA from 1 species
GUGGCGGCUCAAUGGUAAGAGUGCUUGCCUAGCAAGUGUGAAACACUGGGUUCAAUUCCCAGUACCACA